UUGAGCGAUUUACUUCGGUAAAGAGCGGCGGACGGGUGAGUAACGCGUGGGUAACCUACCCUGUACACACGGAUAACAUACCGAAAGGUAUGCUAAUACGGGAUAAUAUAUUUGAGAGGCAUCUCUUGAAUAUCAAAGGUGAGCCAGUACAGGAUGGACCCGCGUCUGAUUAGCUAGUUGGUAAGGUAACGGCUUACCAAGGCGACGAGCAGUAGCCGACCUGAGAGGGUGAUCGGCCACAUUGGAACUGAGACACGGUCCAAACUCCUACGGGAGGCAGCCGUGGGGAAUAUUGCACAAUGGGCGAAAGCCUGAUGCAGCAACGCCGCGUGAGUGAUGAAGGCCUUCGGGUCG
rnacentral:rRNA from 1 species